rnacentral:rRNA from 1 species
GACGAACCGUGCGAACGUUAUUCGGAAUCACUGGGCUUAAAGAGCGUGUAGGCGGUUUGGUAGGUCCGCUGUGAAAACUCGAGGCUCAACCUCGAGACGCCGGUGGAAACCAUCAGGCUAGAGUCCGGAAGAGGAGAGUGGAAUUCCUGGUGUAGCGGUGAAAUGCGCAGAUAUCAGGAAGAACACCAAUGGCGAAGGCAGCUCUCUGGGACGGUACUGACGCUGAGACGCGAAAGCGUGGGGAGCGAACAGG